UACGUAGGGUCCGAGCGUUGUCCGGAAUUACUGGGCGUAAAGAGCUCGUAGGUGGUUGUCGCGUUGUUCGUGAAAACUCACAGCUCAACUGUGGGCGUGCGGGCGAUACGGGCAGACUGGAGUACUGCAGGGGAGACUGGAAUUCCUGGUGUAGCGGUGGAAUGCGCAGAUAUCAGGAGGAACACCGGUGGCGAAGGCGGGUCUCUGGGCAGUAACUGACGCUGAGGAGCGAAAGCGUGGGGAGCGAACAGG
rnacentral:rRNA from 1 species